rnacentral:rRNA from 1 species
GAUUAAGUUAUUAAGGGCGCACGGUGGAUGCCUUGGCACUAGAAGCCGAUGAAGGACGUUACUAACGACGAUAUGCUUUGGGGAGCUGUAAGUAAGCUUUGAUCCAGAGAUUUCCGAAUGGGGAAACCCAGCAUGAGUUAUGUCAUGUUAUCGAUAUGUGAAUACAUAGCAUAUCAGAAGGCACACCCGGAGAACUGAAACAUCUUAGUACCCGGAGGAAGAGAAAGAAAAUUCGAUUCCCUUAGUAGCGGCGAGCGAAACGGGAAGAGCCCAAACCAACAAGCUUGCUUGUUGGGGUUGUAGGACACUCUAUACGGAGUUACAAAGGACGACAUUAGACGAAUCAUCUGGAAAGAUGAAUCAAAGAAGGUAAUAAUCCUGUAGUCGAAAAUGUUGUCUCUCUUGAGUGGAUCCUGAGUACGACGGAGCACGUGAAAUUCCGUCGGAAUCUGGGAGGACCAUCUCCUAAGGCUAAAUACUCUCUAGUGACCGAUAGUGAACCAGUACCGUGAGGGAAAGGUGAAAAGCACCCCGGAAGGGGAGUGAAAUAGAACCUGAAACCGUGUGCUUACAAGUAGUCAGAGCCCGUUAAUGGGUGAUGGCGUGCCUUUUGUAGAAUGAACCGGCGAGUUACGAUUUGAUGCAAGGUUAAGCAGUAAAUGUGGAGCCGUAGCGAAAGCGAGUCUGAAUAGGGCGUUUAGUAUUUGGUCGUAGACCCGAAACCAGGUGAUCUACCCUUGGUCAGGUUGAAGUUCAGGUAACACUGAAUGGAGGACCGAACCGACUUACGUUGAAAAGUGAGCGGAUGAACUGAGGGUAGCGGAGAAAUUCCAAUCGAACCUGGAGAUAGCUGGUUCUCUCCGAAAUAGCUUUAGGGCUAGCCUCAAGUGAUGAUUAUUGGAGGUAGAGCACUGUUUGGACGAGGGGCCCCUCUCGGGUUACCGAAUUCAGACAAACUCCGAAUGCCAAUUAAUUUAACUUGGGAGUCAGAACAUGGGUGAUAAGGUCCGUGUUCGAAAGGGAAACAGCCCAGACCACCAGCUAAGGUCCCAAAAUAUAUGUUAAGUGGAAAAGGAUGUGGCGUUGCCCAGACAACUAGGAUGUUGGCUUAGAAGCAGCCAUCAUUUAAAGAGUGCGUAAUAGCUCACUAGUCGAGUGACACUGCGCCGAAAAUGUACCGGGGCUAAACAUAUUACCGAAGCUGUGGAUUGUCCUUUGGACAAUGGUAGGAGAGCGUUCUAAGGGCGUUGAAGCAUGAUCGUAAGGACAUGUGGAGCGCUUAGAAGUGAGAAUGCCGGUGUGAGUAGCGAAAGACGGGUGAGAAUCCCGU